UACAGAGGUGGCAAGCGUUGUUCGGAAUUACUGGGCGUAAAGGGCGCGUAGGCGGUGCUCUAAGUCCCGUGUGAAAUCCCUCGGCUUAACCGGGGAACUGCGUCUGAUACUGGAUGGCUCGAGUUUGGGAGAGGGAUGCGGAAUUCCAGGUGUAGCGGUGAAAUGCGUAGAUAUCUGGAGGAACACCGGUGGCGAAGGCGGCAUCCUGGACCAACACUGACGCUGAUGAGCGAAAGCCAGGGGAGCAAACGGG
rnacentral:rRNA from 1 species